AGGGGUAUAGCUCAGUGGUAAAGUACAUGUUUAGCAUCAUGAAGUCCUGGGUUUAAUCCCCAGUACCUCCA
rnacentral:tRNA from 1 species